CUUCCCCGCGUCGCGGCAGCGGGAGCAACAAGCGGCUGCUCGAGCUGAGGGUGUAACCAUUUGGAGGGCUGCCGCCAUCUCGGGCGCCACCAGGCGCUCUGUUUGGGGGGUGAGGGCGAUAAGGAAGGCCUUCCCCUAGUCGGUCUACAGCAGCACACUGGAGACUGACUUAGCGCCCCUGCGACAGAACUUACACUUACUUCCCUGCAGGAGGAGAUGCGCAAGAGUUCAUGUGUGAGUUAAUUUUACUUCGAGCUGUCUUAAUCGUAUGUCUUAAUCGUGGCCGGUCCAGGAGAGAUGCUUCGUGUACUGUGACACGUUCAGCCGGAUUCAGAUUUGGCCUCUUUAACUUAGUAGCUGGGCAUGCUCCGUCAAGUUGCACGACCUAAGGCCUCAGUUUUCAGUGCUGUGAAACGGGGAUAAAUGAUAGAAUGCAAGACUACAACUACAGCACCUGUCACCUUCAAGAACAUUGACCGCUCCGGGCAACGAGGGCGUUAUAGACAAAAUCUGUAGGGCAGCUGUCGUUCUUUGCCCACCUAGGGACGCGAGUUACAAACCCCAGUAGUCGUUCUUGAUGUCUUCUUUCCCCCAACAUACGUCCAAUGGCCUGUUGAUGCGACUCCCAAAUACGUGUGGACCUGGCCCCUUCUCCGUCCCCACUGCACCGCCGGCGUUCAGUUAUGCGGCUGUCUCCAACCAUGCCCACCGAUGUGCUCCCCCAGGCUAGCAGCCACACUACCGUCCGAUUCAGUAGAAGAUUAACUUCAAAUAAAGCACGAUUCCAACCCUAACUCAGCCUCUCAUAAACCUCUCUGUAGCCUUCAGAAUAAAGUCCAUAUUUUUUUAGUAUUUAUUUAUUUAUUUAUUUUGAGAGAGAGAGCUAGAGCAAACGGGCGGGGGUGCAGGAAGGGGGCGGGCAGAGAGAGAGAACCGUAAGCAGGCUCCACGCCCAGCGCGGGGCCUGACACAGGGCUCUGUCUCACAACCCUGAGAUCAUGACCUGAGCCGAAAUCAGGAGUCGCUUCACUGACUGAGCCACCCAGGUGCCCCAUGAAGUCCAUGUUAUUUAACAAAAUAUAUAAAAAAUCCAUUAUGAUCUGGCACCAAGCUACUUUUCCAGCCUCAUCUCCUGCAACUGGGCCACGGGAGCCCCACACUCCUCCCUUUUGUCAUGCCCUCCCUUUCUGUAAAACAACAGAGCUCUCCUCUUGUCGGUUGUUUCAUCCUUCGCAUGGUACCCAGCACAAACAGACGCUCAAAUACUUGUGAAUUAAUAGUUACCUGCCCCUUUUGUCUCAUGAAAUAUUUUAGACUUUAUCAGAGUAUUUUAUUUUUUUAUAUACUGUAACCGAUACUUACUGUACAGAAUGCAGAAAAUGCAGCAAAGUUGGAAGAGGAAAAUAAGCCACCUGGCAUGUCACCAGUCAGGAAUCGGGCUGCUGCUAUUUUUAUGUAUUUCUUCCUUUAAUUUUCCUAAAGGGCCAUUUCAGGUCCUCAUCGAUGCGGUCUCUCUGUAUCAUGUAGUAAUGCCCAUUGUGCUUCCCAUUUUCCAUGAUGUGUGUGUGACUUCCCUCUGUCCUGUUCUAUUUCUUGGCUGGCUUCUCUUCUGCUGCCGGCCCCCUAAAUUAUGAUGUUUCCAGACAUUCCAUCUUAAACCCUUCCAUUUUCUCAUUCCACGUGCUUUCUUUUUGAGUGCUCUCACUCAUGCCCAGAGCUUCAGCUAGCUCUAUUUGGUGUUAGAUCCAAAGUCUGUAGCUUGUUCCUCGGGUUUGACAAAUUAUGCACGUCUAAAACGAAACUCAUCACAUCUUUCCCAACAACCUUGUAUAUUUAUCACCUCACUGACCCACCAGCAAACUGGCAGACAUCCCUGACUCCUGCCUUUCCUGAGCCCCCUGGAGCUCCCAGAGGCAUGGGUACUGUUUCCAAUUUUUCAUAAACACAUAAAGCAUAGAUGAAUUUCACUCUAUUCUUGUGACCUUGAUGACGUAUCGCUACAGACCAAAAGUAUAAAUACGCCCCCAAAAAUCCACAUGGUAUUGAUAUACACAGGCAAGAAAUAUUUCUUGGCCCUUUGAUGAGAUACGUACAGUCAUAAAUCUCUGUGGAAAAUGGAUCAAUAUAGCAAAAUAUAACCUCUUUGAAAGUCUCUGAAGAAAGUAACCUUUGCCAUCCCAAAGAAAUCUGACCAGACCCCUUGGUCUAAUACAAAAACCACUGUGCGAGCAGUCUUAUGUAAUGAAACCAGAGUGAUCUCCUGAGUGAGGCCUGUUGUUGUUUCACCUGGGGAAUAGCACCUUCUAAAAGAAAAUCUACCUGCAUGCGUUAGGACUAAUUUCUUUUCAGGGAAGUUGAGUAAGAGCAGUGAUUAGUUGGACAUGUAGAGAUUGAUGUCUCCAUGAAGGAUUUCAACUAAGGAAGAAAAUUAAAGAUACAUUCAAGGUUAACCCCUUUCAAAUGGGUUUUUCAUUUAUUUUCCUAACAAGAAGAGUUUGAUAAAAUAAUCAAUCAAAUAGCCGACAUUUACACAGUGCCCACAGAUUUUUCUCAGCACUGGGAAUACAGCACUGAACCAAAACCACUGGAAAUCUCUGCAUCCCGAGAAGGUUUCUUCCAGUCUAGUAAAUUGUCAUGUUAAUUUCCAUUACAUCAUCUCCCAGUAUCCCAGCAUCCCCUCCAUCUAUAAUCAUAGCCUUUAGAAAUGUACGUUAAAGUUAAGAGUGUGCAAAAAGAUGGCUCGCUCACUAUAAUGUUAAGUAUUUAUAGUUGUGAUUAAAUCAGUAGCCCCUCAUCCAUCUGUCAAUGGAUGUCCCAAUCUUCUCCACCUUAUCAAUGAUACCACUCUGUUCUGGCCACAGAGGCUCCCCUCCAUGGUGCUAUAAUUCAGGGGAUUAUAAAAUACAGAAAAUGAGUAUUCCACACUUGCAAGAGCAGUUGGGCCAAUAGAGAGGCAUAGUCCAUAGUCCUGAACUCUAAAGAAUAUUACUGUGCAGUCCCCGUUGAAUAAAUAGACAGUCAAGUUAGAUUUUAGUUGGGACAGUAGAACUGUAAUGACAUUGAAAAGGCCCUCAAUCAAAGUUCAAGGAUCAGAGGCAUCAAGUUGGAGAAGAUCUUGACUAUUACCUCAUGUAAUGGUUUCUCCCACUUUACUAGAAAAUGAAAUGAGGUCUAUUUUGUUGCAAUUAUUCUCUGAAAUCAUGAAUUUAAAUUGAGCGAUAUAUUGCCCAGUCCUUAGUAAUAAAUAUUAAUUUUGUCCUGUUCUGAUGAAGUAAGGGAAAAAAUAUUCUUUAAAAUUGCCAGGAUAGAGACAACUGGCUGGCUCAGUCAGUGGAGGGUGUGACUUACAAUCUCAGGGUUGGAAGUUCAAAGCCCCAUGUGGGGUGUGGAGAUUACUUAAAAAUAAAAUCUUUAAAAGUAAAUAAACGAAAGAAAAAACUGCCAGGGUGUGUGUGUGUGUGUGUAUGUGUGUAUAUGUGUGUGUGUGUGUGUCAGAAAGAGAGAGAGAGAGAAGGGGGGAAAGAGAGAUUAUCUUGUCUAAAAGGAAGGUUUACAAUUUUUACAACUUCAUACAUUGUUUUGCUAAAAUUUCUCUGUUCCAUCCCCAAGUAGCUCUGAAAUAUUCAUCACUUCGCCAAGGUGAUAAAGCAUAAAGUAGUACUUUUAUUUUUAAAGUCAGAAGGAAAAGGUGUCAAAAAAAAGGAAAAGGCAUCCAUAGUUCUGUCUUGAGGUUCUUUAGAAAGAAUUACUAUAAUAGUUUCAAGUAUUAAAAAUAUUUUAAACAAGAAAUAAACUUCAGGGGCACCUGGGUGGCUCAGUGAGUUAAGCAUCUGCCUUCAG